GACUACGGCCAUACCACCGUGCACGUGCCCAAUCUCGUCUGAUCUCGGAAACUAAGCAGGGUCGGGCCUGGUUAGUACUUGGAUGGGAGACCAUGUGGGAAUACUGGGUGCCAUAGUCU
rnacentral:rRNA from 1 species